UACGUAGGGCGCAAGCGUUGUCCGGAUUCACUGGGUGUAAAGGGUGCGUAGGCGGGAGAGUAAGUCCGCGGUGAAAUCUCACAGCUCAACUGUGAAACUGCCGUUGAUACUGCUUUUCUUGAGUUCGGGAGAGGUUGAUGGAAUUCCAGGUGUAGCGGUGAAAUGCGUAGAUAUCUGGAGGAACACCGGUGGCGAAGGCGGCAUCCUGGACCGGCAUUGACGCUGAGGCGCGAAAGCGUGGGGAGCAAACAGG
rnacentral:rRNA from 1 species